rnacentral:lncRNA from 1 species
GGGGGGGCGCUCUUUUGGGGAGUAAAAAUUCCUUCACAAAUGUGUUGAUGGCUGGACAUUGCAUCAUCCUAGAAAACUUGGAGGCCAGUGGGGACAAAAAUAAAAUGUUAUAAGACUUUUAAAUAUGUGGAUUUUACGGUUAUCUUUGGCGCCCCCUAGAACCUAAACCGUGGGGUGCAGCGUCAUGAUUUGAAUAACUUUUAAUGGCCAUGGGGUGUAGAUUGGCCUGAGCAAAUGUGGUACCGGUGGAACGAAAGCCUUCGGAGGAGUUAGCGAAAUUCCAAUGUGUGCGGAUCGGCAAAAAAUGCGGAAUAACCCUUUAACCGUACAUUUGACAGAUACGCGCGCAUUGACUUUUUCGUAGAUCUUAUUGAGAUACAUGUGUGUGUCAAUUUUUGUGUCAUUUUGCCAAAGCGUACAGGUGUUACACUCAACAAUGUGUAUUUUCACCUUAGGGGACAAGAAAAAAUGGACUUUUUUCUCCUGCCAUGGGGGGGCGCUCUUUUGGGGAGUAAAAAUUCCUUCACAAAUGUGUUGAUGGCUGGACAUUGCAUCAUCCUAGAAAACUUGGAGGCCAGUGAGGGCAAAAAUAAAAAGUUAUAAGACUUUUAAAUAUGUGGAUCUUAGGGUUAUCUUUGGCGCCCCCUAGAACCUAAACCGUGGGGUGCAGCGUCAUGAUUUGAAUAACUUUUAAUGGCCAUGGGGUGUAGAUUGGCCUGAGCAAAUGUGGUGUCGGUGGAACGAAAGCCUUCGGAGGAGUUAGCGAAAUUCCAAUGUGUGCGGAUCGGCAAAAAAUGCGAAAUAACCCUUUAACCGUACAUUUGACAGAUACGCCCGCACUGACUUUUUUGUAGAUCUUAUUGAGAUACAUGUGUGUGUCAAUUUUUGUGUCAUUUUGACAAAGCGUACAGGCGUGACAGUCAAUAGUGUGAAUUUUCACCUUAGGGGGCGCUAUGGAGCCAUUUUGCAUUUUCUUGUUUGGGCGACUUCGGAAUAUCAAAUUUUUCACCAGGCCCGGUCGUCCUGCCAAAUUUCAUGAGUUUUUCGCCAGUGGGAAGUGGGCCAUUUUCCAGUUCAAAGGGGAGGAAAAA